UCACAGCAGUUUCUUCUACCUUCAACCCACGUCUCCCUCCCCCGGCAGUUAUCGAUAGGUUUCAUUGGUUUAUCUGGAAACUCCCCACUCCCCUACUACUUCGCCUGAAACAGGUAACAACCUCGCACCCAGAUUCCACCGACGCUACAAAUAACCAUAAAAAGAAGGGCCAGUUAUGCAUAGACAAACCCUGGAACCCCUUCUUCUCUCUCUCUUCUCACUUCCAAAAAAAAGAUCAAUGAAACAAUUGAACCCUAGUCGAACAACCAUCGCCCUCGCUUUGGCGACUCCAGCAAUUCGAUUUGUUCUGUUUCACAUGACCAGUGAUGGGUAGAUUCUAUGGUGGUGGUAUGAAUGGUUUAAGAGGUGAGAGAAAUCCACUGCUUAACAAAAAGGUAAGCUUAAAAAACCAUAAUUUACAAUAGCUGGGUGGUUCUGCUGCAAAACCGAGCUCUAGAACCGGUGUUCGGAUGUCGCCGGUGACCACGACACCGUGCAGAACCGUUAAAAUGUGAUUUCCGUUCGUAAUCAUCAUCAGAUCACUGAAAAUUCAUCAUCCAUUUCAGGCUACCCUUAAAGUGAAAGAGGAUUUAUGGAGUGUUUCGGAAAGAGAACCAACAGAUGGAGAGUUGGUCACGACAACGAACAUGAACGUAUCACAGCUGAGUACUUUUCCGGCAUAAAUCAUGGGAAGCUAUGGGGUGUUUUCGCAAGGCGCUUUGACCAGAGAAAUUUGAAACCGUCUGGAGCAGAAGAAACCAAAAUGGCUCUUUCCAAAGCCAAGGCAAGGCAUGGAAAUCGUUUCCUCAAACCCCUUUGCCUACACUAUUCUUCAAUCGUUCAUCAUCGACCAUCGUAUACAGGUUUGUCCUUCAAUAUCAUCUUUAGACUUCAUCAAUUAAUAGUUUGGUGGGAUUUUCAUUUUAAUUUUUGCACACUGUUCAUGGUUAAAGUUAAAUGUGUCAUUUGGUUCUAAUUGAUAACAUCUCUACUCAUUGUAAAGUAAUCAUAAUUGUUAUUUAUUUGUUGUGAAUGAAACAAGUUAAUAUACCAACUGUCAGUGCCAAUGUGGUUGUCAAUGGUGCCGCUCUCUGCAGGAAGGAAUAUCAUUAAAAGCUUACGCACGACUUGAAAUGAGUGAAUGGUUUUCAUGGAAUUAUGUUUUAUUACAAAGAGCCAAUUUAUGAUGUCAAUGAGCUUCGGUCAAUCGCCAUACGUAGAUCUAAUAAGUCAUUUGUACAGGUUCAUCGGGUAUUCGGAUGUUCCUAAGGCCUGUUUAAGAAAGCGUGUUGCUACGUGUCAACCUCAGCUGCUUACUAAAGACAAAGAAAUACAUGACAAAUUGGAUGAAUCUCCGUUCUGAGUACAAGGAUGCCUUCUUGGAGAAACAUGGAGUUAAAUUGGAACUGAUGUCUGAUUUUGUUAAGUUAUAUCAUGAAGGUGGAGGCUGGUGUUUAUCGACUACCAUAUCUGAGAGUCAGUGGACCCGAAUUUGGUUUAUAACUAGCCUUUUAUCUUUAUCUUCCACCAGGGUUGGCAUAAUACACAGGUUGGGCAUGUAAGGAAUUGGUCAUAAUAGGUUUUUGAUCAGUAUGGGUGAACCGUCAAAUGCUAUUGUUUUAUUUUGUGAAUCUUAUAAUAAUUGGAUGGUUAAAUAUGAUUACAAAGCCAUGUUAUUACAAUCAUAAUUUGAUUUUUUUUAAAUACA